GGUUAAAUAACUCAAGUGCAUAUGGUGGAUGCCUCGACAUAGAGAGCCGAAGAAGGACGUAGUAGCCUGCGAUAAGCCUCGGGGAGGUGGCAAGCAACCUUUGAUCCGGGGAUUUCCGAAUGGGGAAACCCACUCCGUUUAGCGGAGUAUCGUACGCUGAAUUCAUAGGUGUAUGAAGACAACCCAGGGAACUGAAACAUCUUAGUACCUGGAGGAAAAGAAAAAAUCCUCCCGCUUUGCGGGAGAUAUUCCCUUAGUAGUGGCGAGCGAAAAGGGAAGAGUCUAAACCUUGUUAGUGUAGUGCCUAAUGAAGUUAGUAUUUAUACUUUCGGAUUUAGGCACCUAAAGGUGUAAGCCGUUGCUGACAAGGUGUUGCAAGGUAGUAACAUUAAAUUCCUUACAGAGUUUAGACAAAGAAAUUUAUUAUAACUUCCAUAGCAGAAUCCUCUGGAAAGAGGAGCCAUAGAGGGUGAUAGCCCCGUACCGUGAAAUGGGUUAUAACUUUGUGGUUACUAUCCUUAAGUACUACAAGGCCCGAGAAACCUUGUAGGAAUCAUCCAUGACUAUGUGGAAAGACUAAAUACUUCUUUAUGAUCGAUAGUGAACAAGUACCAUGAGGGAAAGGUGAAAAAUAUCCCGGUGAGGGAGAUGAAAAGUAUCUGAAACCAUAUGCUUACAAGGAGUCGGAGCCCUCCUUCGCUUUUUACUUCGUAAAAAGCUUCGGAGGGCAUGACCCUUCAAGAAUUUAUUUUCUUGAGGGCUGUGCCCACCGUAGCUCAAACGGAGUGCAGAGCGAAGGUGGGUGACGGCGUGCCUAUUGAAGAAUGAGCCAACGAGUUAUUGUCUGUUGUUUGUCUAAGUCCGAUCAGGACGAAGGCAGAGUGAAAGCGAGGGUUAAUAGCCCGAUUUUAGUUAAUUAGCUGCAAGCUAACUUCUUAGCUUUUGGCUAAUUAACUAUUUAUGACAGCAGGUAAUAGACCCGAAGCCGAGUGAGCUAGCCAUGACCAGGGUGAAACCAGUGUAACAGCUGGUGAAGGCCCGAACCCGUACGCUGUGCAACACGUUGGGAUGAGUUGUGGCUGGAGGAGAAAUUCCAAUCGAACUCGGCGAUAGCUGGUUCUCCCCGAGAUAGCUUUAGGGCUAGCCUCUCCAAAUGUCNNNNNNNGUAGAGCACUGAAUGGGGACAGGGAUGAAUAAUCUGCUGCCCCUAAUCAAACUCCGAAUGCCGUGGUAACUAAUUGGAGGGAGUCAGACUAUGGGGGCUAAGCUCCAUUAGUCGAAAGGGAUACAGCCCAGACCGCCAUUUAAGGUCCCUAAAUCCAGAUUAAGUGUAAAAGGUGGUAAGAUGACUUUUACAACCAGGAGGUUGGCUUAGAAGCAGCCAUCCUUUAAAGAUAGCGUAACAGCUCACUGGUCGAGUUAUUUUGCGCCGAAAAUGUACCGGGGCUAAAUCUGGUACCGAAAGUGCGGAUUUAUAUCUUUUAGAUAUAAGUGGUAGGGGAGCAUUUUAUAUCCACUGAAGCCCACGCCGUGAGGCGGGGUGGAGGAUAUAGAAGAGAGAAUGUUGGCAUGAGUAACAAAAAGACAGGUGAAAACCCUGUCCACCGUAAACCCAAGGUUUCCUGGGCAACGCAAAUCGACCCAGGGUUAGUCGGUCCUAAGGCGAGGCUGAAAGGCGUAGUCGAUGGAUCAGCUGGUUAAUAUUCCAGCACUAUUUUUAGUUUUCAAUGGGGUAACGUAAUUUAUGAGAUUGAGCGUUUUUUGGCUAUAGACGUUGCUGACAAUCGAGCGACUAUUUGGCAAAUCCAGUAGUCAUUAAGCUUGAGAAUCGGCAGAAGGCAAAGCAUUA
rnacentral:ncRNA from 1 species